GAUGAACGCUGGCGGUGUGCCUAAUACAUGCAAGUCGAGCGAACAGACGAGGAGCUUACUCCUCUGACGUUAGCGGCGCACGGGUGAGUAACACGUGGAUAACCUACCUAUCAGACUGGGAUAACUUCGGGAAACCGGAGCUAAUACCGGAUAACAUGUUGAACCGCAUGGUUCAACAGUGAAAGACGGUCUUUCUGUCACUUAUCGAUGGAUCCGCGUCGCAUUAGCUAGUUGGUAAGUUAACGGCUUACCAAGGCGACGAUGCGUAGCCGACCUGAGAGGGUGAUCGGCCACACUGGAACUGAGACACGGUCCAGACUCCUACGGGAGGCAGCAGUAGGGAAUCUUCCGCAAUGGGCGAAAGCCUGACGGAGCAACGCCGCGUGAGUGAAGAAGGUCUUCGGAUCGUAAAACUCUGUUAUUAGGGAAGAACAAAUGUGUAAGUAACUAUGCACGUCUUGACGGUACCUAAUCAGAAAGCCACGGCUAACUACGUG
rnacentral:rRNA from 1 species